UACGAGGGGGGCGAGCGUUGUUCGGAAUUAUUGGGCGUAAAGGGUGCGUAGGCGGUUUGGUAAGUCUGAUGUGAAAUCUAUGGGCUCAACUCAUAGUCUGCAUCGGAAACUGCCGGGCUUGAGUGUGGGAGAGGCGAGUGGAAUUACAGGUGUAGCGGUGAAAUGCGUAGAUAUCUGUAGGAACACCUGUGGCGAAAGCGGCUCACUGGACCACAACUGACGCUGAUGCACGAAAGCUAGGGGAGCAAACAGG
rnacentral:rRNA from 1 species